AGCGAACGCUGGCGGCAGGCUUAACACAUGCAAGUCGAGCGGGCAUCCUUGUGGUGUCAGCGGCAGACGGGUGAGUAACGCGUGGGAACGUGCCCUUCGGUUCGGAAUAACUCAGGGAAACUUGAGCUAAUACCGGAUACGUGCGAGAGCAGAAAGGUUUAUCUGCCGAAGGAUCGGCCCGCGUCUGAUUAGCUAGUUGGUGAGGUUAUGGCUCACCAAGGCGACGAUCAGUAGCUGGUCUGAGAGGAUGAUCAGCCACACUGGGACUGAGACACGGCCCAGACUCCUACGGGAGGCAGCAGUGGGGAAUAUUGGACGAUGGGGGCAACCCUGAUCCAGCCAUGCCGCGUGAGUGAUGACGGCCUUAGGGUUGUAAAGCUCUUUUCUUCGGGACGAUAAUGACGGUACCGGAGGAAUAAGCCCCGGCUAACUUCGUG
rnacentral:rRNA from 1 species